AGCAGCCGCGGUAAUUCCAGCUCCAAUAGCGUAUAUAAAAGUUGCUGCAGUUAAAAAGCUCGUAGUUGAAUUUCGGGACCGAUAUAUCGGUCGCGCCUCGGUACGUACUGGUAUUUUCGGUUUCUACCUUCUGACGAACCUUGAUGUCAUUAAUUUGGUGUCUUGGGAAAUCAGGACUGUUACUUUGAAAAAAUUAGAGUGUUUAAAGCAGGCUCACGCUUGAAUACAUUAGCAUGGAAUAAUGAAAUAGGACGUUUGAUUCUAUUUUGUUGGUUUCUAGGAUCGACGUAAUGAUUAAUAGGGAUAGUUGGGGGCAUUAGUAUUCAAUUGUCAGAGGUGAAAUUCUUGGAUUUAUUGAAGACUAACUACUGCGAAAGCAUUUGCCAAGGAUGUUUUCAUUAAUCAAGAACGAAAGUUAGGGGAUCGAAGACGAUCAGAUACCGUCGUAGUCUUAACCAUAAACUAUGCCGACUAGGGAUCGGAUGAUGUUAAUUUUUUAAUGACUCAUUCGGCGCCUUAC
rnacentral:rRNA from 1 species